UAAUACGUAGGGUCCGAGCGUUGUCCGGAGUUACUGGGCGUAAAGCGCGCGCAGGCGGCUCGUCAAGCAUGGCGUGAAAGCCCCCGGCUCAACUGGGGAGGGUCGUCGUGGACUGGCGAGCUUGAGGGCGGUAGGGGCUGGUGGAAUUCCCGGUGUAGUGGUGAAAUGCGUAGAGAUCGGGAGGAACACCCGUGGCGAAGGCGGCCAGCUGGGCCGACCCUGACGCUGAGGCGCGAAGGCGUGGGGAGCGAACGGG
rnacentral:rRNA from 1 species